rnacentral:lncRNA from 1 species
CGGCUGGAGCCGAGCUUCCUGAUACCUAGUGAGCCGCGGUGAUGACAAAUGAAAACAAUAAGCUGUUUCCUAGACAAACAGCUGCCUAGUUUCGCUCUGUCGCCCAGGCUGGAGUGCAGUGGCACAAUCUCGGUUCACUGCAACCUCUGCCUCCCGGGUUCAAGCAGUUCUCUUGCCUCAGCCUCCCAAGUAACUGGUACUACAGAGAAUUGAUACAAAAAAUGAUCAUGUGAAGAAUUUGCAUCUUCUGCAGAACUACCGGUAUCAGUCAGCAGUAGGAGAUUGUAUAAAUUCAGCCUGAGAUUCCAGAAUAUUCUGUGUAUUGACCACCACAGCAAGAAGAAAAAGUCCAUGUAGGACUGAAAUCAUAUGCUGAGCCCUUUCCCAGUGUUGGGAGCAUAUCAAGAUAUUGACACAGUUCCUGUCCUUAAGCCCUGCAGGAUUUAGGGAGUUGGUUCUGACUAACCAUUACAUCCCAAUAUUAGGUUGGCAGCAGUGGAAGUCAUACAUUGAUGCAAAAGGGGUUCCCAAGUCUCCUCUCUGCUCACCUAUGAUCUAAUCUCUUCUCGGGGGCAUCCAAAUCAGUAAAGAGGAAGUCAAACUGUCGCUGUUUGCUGAUAAUAUAAUCGUAUAUAGGCUGGUAAGUAUGAGAGGCAUACUUGAAAACCCUAAAGAUUCCUCCUAAAAGC